AGCGAACGCUGGCGGCGUGCUUAACACAUGCAAGUCGAACGGAAAGGCUCCAGCUUGCUGGAGUACUCGAGUGGCGAACGGGUGAGUAACACGUGGGUGAUCUGCCCUGCACUUCGGGAUAAGCCUGGGAAACUGGGUCUAAUACCGGAUAGGACCGCACUUUGGUGUGUGUGGUGGAAAGGUUUUUCUGGUGUGGGAUGAGCUCGCGGCCUAUCAGUUUGUUGGUGGGGUAAUGGCCUACCAAGACGGCGACGGGUAGCCGGCCUGAGAGGGUGGACGGUCACAUUGGGACUGAGAUACGGCCCAGACUCCGACGGGAGGCAGCAGUGGGGAAUAUUGCACAAUGGGGGAAACCCUGAUGCAGCGACGCCGCGUGGGGGAUGAAGGCCUUCGGGUUGUAAACUCCUUUCGCUAGGGACGAAGCUUUUUGUGACGGUACCUGGAGAAGAAGCACCGGCUAACUACGUG
rnacentral:rRNA from 1 species